UGGUGUAUUGGAAUUGUGCUCUCCAGCGCUAGCAUCUACGUUAGUCCUUUUCUCUGGAAUACGCAUGCUCGACUCCAUAGUAGGGGAUUUUUGGAAUACUGUAUUACCACAUAGAUAAACUGUACCAUUUUAAUUUCGUUUUAUCAUCUUCACGUGAAGUUUUGUGUUUUAUCGUUAAUGUCAAACAGUAACAGUAGCUUCGGUCUUAUGCUAUGUAGAGGAAGGUGACAUUUAUAUAAAAAGAAUUAAACUGUCUUUGAUAACUAAUUGCUGUUCUAAAGACGGUAAGCUUUUUUUAAAAAGGUAAACUUGUAUUCAACAUGCAUCCUUGGUUACAACAGGGAAAGCGAAAGUGAGAAGAAACAGUUUUUUCUCAUUUAAAUCAUGGGCGGAUGCUUGUCUAUAUUAAUCUCCCUUUGACAUAACUUUGAUGAUGCAAAUGAUGACCCCCGCCUAUGAAAACAAAUUCGUACUCGGUAACAACAUUCUUUUAUUUAACGCAAUUACGUAAAGUUACAGUUUAUAUUUUGACCAUUUCUGCAAUUGAAAGAAAAAUUCUUCUUUUAAAAGUUUAUUUUCUCGCAAAUAUCGCAUAUCCUUAAGUGCAGUCAUCCUUUAUGUUAAAAUAAUGUUUUAUGUGAAUUAUUAUUUUAAAAAUGAGUGAUGUAUAUUUAUACUGAUUUGAUAAAAUAAAGAAAAUAUUAC
rnacentral:misc_RNA from 1 species